rnacentral:rRNA from 1 species
GACGAACGCUGGCGGCGUGCUUAACACAUGCAAGUCGAACGCUGAAGCUCAGCUUUUGUUGGGUGGAUGAGUGGCGAACGGGUGAGUAACACGUGAGUAACCUGCCCCCUUCUUUGGGAUAACGCCCGGAAACGGGUGCUAAUACUGGAUAUUCACUGGUCUUCGCAUGGGGGUUGGUGGAAAGGGUUUUUCUGGUGGGGGAUGGGCUCGCGGCCUAUCAGCUUGUUGGUGGGGUGAUGGCCUACCAAGGCUUUGACGGGUAGCCGGCCUGAGAGGGUGACCGGUAACAUGGGGACUGAGAUACGGCCCAGACUCCUGCGGGGGGCAGCAGUGGGGAAUAUUGCACAAUGGGCGCAAGCCUGAUGCAGCGACGCCGCGUGAGGGAUGGAGGCCCUCGGGUUGUGAACCUCUUUCGCUCAUGGUCAAGCCGCAACAAUGGUUGUGGUGAGGGUAGUGGGUAAAGAAGCGCCGGCUAACUACGUG